rnacentral:rRNA from 1 species
UCGAACGGUAGCACGAGAGCUUGCUCUUGGUGGCGACCGGCGCACGGGUGCGUAACGCGUAUGUAACCUACCCAUAACUGAGGAAUAGCCCAGAGAAAUUUGGAUUAAUACCUCAUAAUAAUAUUUUAUGGCAUCAUUUAAUAUUUAAAACUCCGGCGGUUUAAGAUGGGCAUGCGUUCUAUUAGUUAGUUGGUGAGGUAAUGGCUCACCAAGACCACGAUAGAUAGGGGGCCUGAGAGGGUUAUCCCCCACACUGGUACUGAGACACGGACCAGACUCCUACGGGAGGCAGCAGUGAGGAAUAUUGCACAAUGGACGAAAGUCUGAUGCAGCCAUGCCGCGUGCAGGAUGAAUGCCCUAUGGGUUGUAAACUGCUUUUAUAUAGGAAGAAACUUUUCUACGUGUAGAAAACUGACGGUACUAUAAGAAUAAGGACCGGCUAACUCCGUGCCAGCAGCCGCGGUAAUACGGAGGGUCCAAGCGUUAUCCGGAUUUAUUGGGUUUAAAGGGUCCGUAGGCGGGAAAUUAAGUCAGUGGUGAAAGCCUACAGCUCAACUGUAGAACUGCCAUUGAAACUGAUUUUCUUGAAUAUAGAUGAAGUGGGCGGAAUAUAUCAUGUAGCGGUGAAAUGCAUAGAUAUGAUAUAGAACACCGAUUGCGAAGGCAGCUCACUAAACUAUUAUUGACGCUGAGGGACGAAAGCGUGGGGAGCGAACAGGAUUAGAUACCCUGGUAGUCCACGCCGUAAACGAUGAUUACUCGAUGCUAGCAAUAUACUGUUAGUGUCUAAGCGAAAGCGAUAAGUAAUCCACCUGGGGAGUACGGUCGCAAGAUUGAAACUCAAAGGAAUUGACGGGGGCCCGCACAAGCGGUGGAGCAUGUGGUUUAAUUCGAUGAUACGCGAGGAACCUUACCUGGGCUUAAAUGUAUUUUGACAGACUGGGAAACCAGUCCUUCUUCGGACAAUUUACAAGGUGCUGCAUGGUUGUCGUCAGCUCGUGCUGUGAGGUGUCGGGUUAAGUCCCAUAACGAGCGCAACCCCGAGUAUGUCGGGACUCUAGAAGACUGCUGGUACAGUGAGAAGGGGGGGGAUGACGUCAUCAUACGGCUUAUGUCCUGGGCUACACGGGCUCAAUGGUACUCAUGGGGGUGCACUGGACAGAAGCAAUCUACGGAUCCAGUUCGGAUCGGAUUGAAUCGAACUCUUGUUGA